AACUACAACUGUCUAGUUUCUUCUCUGUGUCUUUCACUGGGCUGUGAGUUCCUUGAGAGUAGCGACGGUGUCUUAUUCAUCUUGGGAUCUCCAGCUCUCACAUCAGGGCUCAAGACAAAAAUAGAGAGAAUUCAGAAGAAUGUGAACCACACGUGUCCAGUUCCAUUUUCCUCAGCUCACAUCUUUCAAUAAGCCCACUCCACCCUGGGGUAGAGGAAGAGGGCUGGAACAAGACACAAAGCCUAUACCACAAAGAGGGGGAGGAAAAACUAAGGUGGUAAAGUAGCUGCUUCCAUGAUUCAUCUUGCCAACCUAGAGGAGAGACAUGCUGUGGAGGGGAGCAGGGCCAGGGGCCAUAACACAGAAGAGAGAUGGGGCAGCAUAGGCUGCAUCUCACACCACCUUGUUCUCUACCUGCAUUUGGCACAGAGCUUGGGGUAGCCACAUGAUCCAGUUCUCUCCAAUGAGACCUAAGGUGAAAUCUGUUGAUGAAAUUUCUGGUGAUUUUUUUUAAAUAAAAAGGAACAGAUGCUG
rnacentral:lncRNA from 1 species